rnacentral:misc_RNA from 1 species
AUCUUGAGCGUUGCUAGUCUGACUAGCUCGUUCGUAAUAUAUUAGCAUCUCUAAUUCGACUUCGGAUUGACUCAGUGUAAUAGGACUAUUCGCUGAGGACACUUUUAUUAGUGGCCGUAUGAGAACCAGUAGAAGCUUCCAACUACUUAGUCAACUUUGAUUUAGACCUCAGAUCAGGCAGGAUUACCCGCUGAACUUAA